rnacentral:rRNA from 1 species
ACUCAAAUGAAUUGACGGGGGCCCGCACAAGCGGUGGAGCAUGUGGUUUAAUUCGAUGCAACGCGAAGAACCUUACCAAGGUUUGACAUCCCGUGAAUCUGGUGGAAACACCGGAGUGCCGCAAGGAGCACGGUGACAGGUGGUGCAUGGCUGUCGUCAGCUCGUGUCGUGAGAUGUUGGGUUAAGUCCCGCAACGAGCGCAACCCUCGAUGUUAGUUGCCAACGGGUUAUGCCGGGCACUCUAGCGUGACUGCCGGUGACAAACCGGAGGAAGGUGGGGAUGACGUCAAGUCAUCAUGCCCCUUAUGCCUUGGGCUACACACGUGCUACAAUGGCCAGGACAGUAGGUUGCAAUGCCGCGAGGUGGAGCCAAUCCCUAAACCUGGUCUCAGUUCGGAUUGCAGGCUGCAACUCGCCUGCAUGAAGGCGGAAUCGCUAGUAACCGCAGGUCAGCAUACUGCGGUGAAUACGUUCCCGGGCCUUGUACACACCGCCCGU